rnacentral:rRNA from 1 species
AGCGAACGCUGGCGGCAGGCCUAACACAUGCAAGUCGAACGAACUCUUCGGAGUUAGUGGCGGACGGGUGAGUAACACGUGGGAACGUGCCUUUAGGUUCGGAAUAACUCAGGGAAACUUGUGCUAAUACCGAAUGUGCCCUUCGGGGGAAAGAUUUAUCGCCUUUAGAGCGGCCCGCGUCUGAUUAGCUAGUUGGUGAGGUAAAGGCUCACCAAGGCGACGAUCAGUAGCUGGUCUGAGAGGAUGAUCAGCCACAUUGGGACUGAGACACGGCCCAAACUCCUACGGGAGGCAGCAGGGGGGAAUCUUGCGCAAUGGGCGAAAGCCUGACGCAGCCAUGCCGCGUGAAUGAUGAAGGUCUUAGGAUUGUAAAAUUCUUUCACCGGGGACGAUAAUGACGGUACCCGGAGAAGAAGCCCCGGCUAACUUCGUG